GGGGCUGAUUCUGGAUUCGACGGGAUUUGCGAAACCCAAGGUGCAUGCCGAGGGGCGGUUGGCCUCGUAAAAAGCCGCAAAAAAUAGUCGCAAACGACGAAAACUACGCUUUAGCAGCUUAAUAACCUGCUUAGAGCCCUCUCUCCCUAGCCUCCGCUCUUAGGACGGGGAUCAAGAGAGGUCAAACCCAAAAGAGAUCGCGUGGAAGCCCUGCCUGGGGUUGAAGCGUUAAAACUUAAUCAGGCUAGUUUGUUAGUGGCGUGUCCGUCCGCAACUGGCAAGCGAAUGUAAAGACUGACUAAGCAUGUAGUACCGAGGAUGUAGGAAUUUCGGACGCGGGUUCAACUCCCGCCAGCUCCACCA
rnacentral:tmRNA from 1 species